rnacentral:rRNA from 1 species
AACGAACGCUGGCGGCAGGCUUAACACAUGCAAGUCGAACGCCCCGCAAGGGGAGUGGCAGACGGGUGAGUAACGCGUGGGAAUCUACCCAGAUCUUCGGAACAACUGAGGGAAACUUCAGCUAAUACCGGAUACGCCCUACGGGGGAAAGAUUUAUCGGUUCUGGAUGAGCCCGCGUUGGAUUAGCUAGUUGGUGAGGUAAAGGCUCACCAAGGCGACGAUCCAUAGCUGGUCUGAGAGGAUGAUCAGCCACACUGGGACUGAGACACGGCCCAGACUCCUACGGGAGGCAGCAGUGGGGAAUAUUGGACAAUGGGCGAAAGCCUGAUCCAGCCAUGCCGCGUGAGUGAUGAAGGCCUUAGGGUUGUAAAGCUCUUUCAGUAGGGAAGAUAAUGACGGUACCUACAGAAGAAGCCCCGGCUAACUUCGUGCCAGCCGCCGCAGUAA